UACGGAGGGUGCAAGCGUUAUCCGGAUUCACUGGGCGUAAAGGGUGCGUAGGCGGCCGUGCAAGUCUGGCGUGAAAGCCCCGGGCUCAGCCCGGGAAGUGCGCUCGAAACUGCGCGGCUCGAGUGCCGGAGGGGAGAGUGGAAUUCCUGGUGUAGCGGUGAAAUGCGUAGAUAUCAGGAGGAAUACCGGUGGCGAAAGCGACUCUCUGGACGGCAACUGACGCUGAGGCACGAAAGCGUGGGGAGCAAACAGG
rnacentral:rRNA from 1 species